ACACGAGAGAGGAGGUGGUCCACCGGUGUAUUCCAGUAGGACGCGUGAGGUGGCUGUCCGCUAAGGACCACCCAUCAACGAUGGUUGCCGGCUCCGCCCACGGCAGACACCGGGUCCUCCCGGUGCCGUAGGCGCGGCGCGUGGUCGGCGAAUACCAGGCAGUCACCCAGCCCUCGGGCCCCCGGGGUAGUCCGUCCCGGGCCCUCCUCCGCGCUUCGGCGUGGGAGAGGGAGCCAGCCCGGGGGCUGUGCCCU
rnacentral:sRNA from 1 species